rnacentral:rRNA from 1 species
AUUGAACGCUGGCGGCAGGCCUAACACAUGCAAGUCGAACGGUAACAGGAAGCAGCUUGCUGCUUCGCUGACGUGUGGCGGACGGGUGAGUAAUGUCUGGGAAACUGCCUGAUGGAGGGGGAUAACUACUGGAAACGGUAGCUAAUACCGCAUAACGUCGCAAGACCAAAGAGGGGGACCUUAGGGCCUCUUGCCAUCGGAUGUGCCCAGAUGGGAUUAGCUAGUAGGUGGGGUAACGGCUCACCUAGGCGACGAUCCCUAGCUGGUCUGAGAGGAUGACCAGCCACACUGGAACUGAGACACGGUCCAGACUCCUACGGGAGGCAGCAGUGGGGAAUAUUGCACAAUGGGCGCAAGCCUGAUGCAGCCAUGCCGCGUGUAUGAAGAAGGCCUUCGGGUUGUAAAGUACUUUCAGCGGGGAGGAAGGGAGUAAAGUUAAUACCUUUGCUCAUUGACGUUACCCGCAGAAGAAGCACCGGCUAACUCCGU